GAUUGCAUACAGCAAUCAUGCAUACCAUCAUCCAUUCUCUUCACAGUUCAAGCAUACUAGUGAUGCUGAAGACGAUCACCAAUAUUGUGGAUGAGCUCUUGGCUCCUAGUGAUGAGAUAUUCAACAACAUUGCUCUUGAAUUUUCUCUUAUUAAUGAAGUUACAUAUUUUCUUCUUA